rnacentral:rRNA from 1 species
ACGCGUGGAUAACCUGCCGUAUACAGGGGGAUAACACUUAGAAAUAGGUGCUAAUACCGCAUAAGCGCACGGUUCCGCAUGGAACAGUGUGAAAAACUCCGGUGGUAUACGAUGGAUCCGCGUCUGAUUAGCCAGUUGGCGGGGUAACGGCCCACCAAAGCGACGAUCAGUAGCCGGCCUGAGAGGGUGAACGGCCACAUUGGGACUGAGACACGGCCCAAACUCCUACGGGAGGCAGCAGUGGGGAAUAUUGCACAAUGGGGGAAACCCUGAUGCAGCGACGCCGCGUGAGUGAAGAAGUAUCUCGGUACGUAAAGCUCUAUCAGCAGGGAAGAAAAUGACGGUACCUGACUAAGAAGCCCCGGCUAACUACGUGCCAGCAGCCGCGGUAAUACGUAGGGGGCAAGCGUUAUCCGGAUUUACUGGGUGUAAAGGGAGCGUAGACGGCAGCGCAAGUCUGGAGUGAAAUGCCGGGGCCCAACCCCGGAACUGCUUUGGAAACUGUGCAGCUCGAGUGCAGGAGAGGUAAGCGGAAUUCCUAGUGUAGCGGUGAAAUGCGUAGAUAUUAGGAGGAACACCAGUGGCGAAGGCGGCUUACUGGACUGUAACUGACGUUGAGGCUCGAAAGCGUGGGGAGCAAACAGGAUUAGAUACCCUGGUAGUCCACGCCGUAAACGAUGAUUACUAGGUGU